rnacentral:rRNA from 1 species
AACGAACGCUGGCGGCAUGCCUAACACAUGCAAGUCGAACGAGACCUUCGGGUCUAGUGGCGCACGGGUGCGUAACGCGUGGGAACCUGCCCUUAGGUUCGGAAUAACUCCCCGAAAGGGGUGCUAAUACCGGAUAAUGUCUUCGGACCUAAGAUUUAUCGCCUUUGGAUGGGCCCGCGUUGGAUUAGCUAGUUGGUAGGGUAAAAGCCUACCAAGGCGACGAUCCAUAGCUGGUCUGAGAGGAUGAUCAGCCACACUGGGACUGAGACACGGCCCAGACUCGUACGGGAGGGAGCAGUGGGGAAUAUUGGAAAAGGGGCGAAAGCCUGAUACAGCAAUGCCGCGUGAGUGAUGAAGGCCUUAGGGUUGUAAAGCUCUUUUAGCCGGGAUGAUAAUGACAGUAACGGGAGAAUAAGCUCCGGCUAACUCCGUG